AUUGAACGCUGGCGGCAUGCCUUACACAUGCAAGUCGAACGGCAGCGCGGGGCAACCUGGCGGCGAGUGGCGAACGGGUGAGUAAUAUAUCGGAACGUACCCUGGAGUGGGGGAUAACGUAGCGAAAGUUACGCUAAUGCCGCAUACGAUCCAAGGAUGAAAGCAGGGGGACCCGCAAGGCCUUGUGCUCCAGGAGCGGCCGAUAUCUGAUUAGCUAGUUGGUGGGGUAAAGGCCUACCAAGGCAUCGAUCAGUAGCUGGUCUGAGAGGACGACCAGCACACUGGAACUGAGACACGGUCCAGACUCCUACGGGAGGCAGCAGUGGGAAUUUUGGACAAUGGGCGCAAGCCUGGAUCCAGCAAUGCCGCGUGAGUGAAGAAGGACC
rnacentral:rRNA from 1 species